rnacentral:rRNA from 1 species
UAGGGAAUCUUCGGCAAUGGACGGAAGUCUGACCGAGCAACGCCGCGUGAGUGAAGAAGGUUUUCGGAUCGUAAAGCUCUGUUGUAAGAGAAGAACGAGUGUGAGAGUGGAAAGUUCACACUGUGACGGUACCUUACCAGAAAGGGACGGCUAACUACGUGCCAGCAGCCGCGGUAAUACGUAGGUCCCGAGCGUUGUCCGGAUUUAUUGGGCGUAAAGCGAGCGCAGGCGGUUAGAUAAGUCUGAAGUUAAAGACUGUGGCUUAACCAUAGUAGGCUUUGGAAACUGUUUAACUUGAGUGCAAGAGGGGAGAGUGGAAUUCCAUGUGUAGCGGUGAAAUGCGUAGAUAUAUGGAGGAACACCGGUGGCGAAAGCGGCUCUCUGGCUUGUAACUGACGCUGAGGCUCGAAAGCGUGGGGAGCAAACAGGAUUAGAUACCCUGGUAGUCCACGCUGUAAACGAUGAGUGCUAGGUGUUAGACCCUUUCCGGGGUUUAGUGCCGUAGCUAACGCAUUAAGCACUCCGCCUGGGGAGUACGACCGCAAGGUUG